rnacentral:rRNA from 1 species
AUUGAACGCUGGCGGCAUGCCUAACACAUGCAAGUCGAACGGUAACGAUGGGAGCUUGCUCCCAGGCGACGAGUGGCGGACGGGUGAGUAAUACUUAGGAAUCUGCCCAGUAGUGGGGGACAACUCGAGGAAACUCGAGCUAAUACCGCAUACGCCCUACGGGGGAAAGCGGGGGAUCUUCGGACCUCGCGCUAUUGGAUGAGCCUAAGUCGGAUUAGUUUGUUGGUGAGGUAAAGGCUCACCAAGGCGACGAUCCGUAGCUGGUCUGAGAGGACGAUCAGCCACACUGGGACUGAGACACGGUCCAGACUUCUACGGGAGGCAGCAGUGGGGAAUCUUGGACAAUGGGGGCAACCCUGAUCCAGCCAUGCCGCGUGAGUGAUGAAGGCCUUAGGGUCGUAAAGCUCUUUCGCCAGAGAUGAUAAUGACAGUAUCUGGUAAAGAAGUCCCGGCUAACUCCGUG